GCCCUGGUAGUGUAGAGGCCUAUCAUACGAGGUUGUCGACCUUGUGACCCGGGUUCGAAUCCCGGCCAGGGCG
rnacentral:tRNA from 1 species